CAGGAGUGCCGGCUCAGAGGCAGCCACGCAGCAGAGAGCCUGAGCUAUAAAUGGCUGCUGUGCAGCUGUGAGGGGAGCUAUUUUGGGAUCCCAGGGGGUCUCAUUGGCACUUCAGGCAGGCCAGGAGGUGCCAAAGCCUGGGGCUCUUGUUGGCUUUUACAUCCACUUCAGUGGCUUUCAAACCGGAAGAAACCUGGGAGCUGAGCCCAUGCUGAAUGGAUAAGAUUAAUGUCCGCCAUCGAAAGGAGCAGCUGACGUGACUUAAGCCUGUAUGCUUCAGAGUUACAGAGUUAGCUAGGAAGGAGUGCUGCAUUGUUACCUCCCAGCGGUGUGGCCUUUGGUAAGUCUCUUCAACUCCAUGAGACUCAGGCCCUCACUCAUAAAACAGGAAUAACUAUCAUAUUUGCUUCAUGGAAUUAUUGUAAGAGUUAAAUGUGGCUAAAUUCUUGGCCCAAUGCA